rnacentral:misc_RNA from 1 species
CGAAAAGGAGUAUCCGUACUCUUAAACCCUUUGUGAACCUUACCUAUCGUCAGUUGCUUCGGCGGGAGGCCCCUGGGAGGGGCCCCGGGGCCCGGCCUGAGCCGGGCUCCCGCCGGAGGAGCGCAAACUAAAACUCUUGCUGUACCUCAGUGGAACGUCCGAGUCAAAACAAAAAAACAAGUUA